CCUACGGGUGGCAGCAGUCGAGAAUUUUUCUCAAUGGGGGAAACCCUGAAGGAGCGACGCCGCGUGGAGGAUGAAGGUCUUCGGAUUGUAAACUCCUGUCAUUGGGGAACAAACCUCCCGGUUAACUGCCGGAGAGCUGAUAGUACCCGAAGAGGAAGAGACGGCUAACUCUGUGCCAGCAGCCGCGGUAAUACAGAGGUCUCAACCGUUGUUCGGAUUCAUUGGGCGUAAAGGGUGCGUAGGCGGCGGAGUAAGUCAGGUGUGAAAUCUCGGGGCUCAACCCCGAAACUGCACUUGAUACUGCUUCGCUAGAGUAUUGGAGAGGAGAUUGGAAUUUACGGUGUAGCAGUGAAAUGCGUAGAUAUCGUAAGGAAGACCAGUGGCGAAGGCGAAUCUCUGGACAAUUACUGACGCUGAGGCACGAAGGCCAGGGGAGCAAACGGGAUUAGAUACCCUUGUAGUC
rnacentral:rRNA from 1 species